CCGGAGUCCUUGAGGACUUUUCCCUGCCUGCGAUCCCUGCCUCUCACUAAGCUGAGAGGGACUACUGAAAACGAAAAAGAAGAAAAAAGCCAGAGACCCCAGUGUGAACUUAAAGACAGUGACUAAUUCUCAAGAGCUGUGACCCCAGAGACUGCAGCACCAUCACAGAGAAGGUGAUGCCGAGGCAAAACACCAGCUCGGACAACUUCAUUUGAAAAGGGGAGGCUGGAAGAGAUGCUACCUCAACUGGACCAAGAGAUGUACCGAGAAGCCAGACUUUUACAUCCUCUUGUUAAACACUGCUUACCAAAAGACUAAGAUACAAAUACAAUCAAAAUCUGUCUUUAAAAAAAAAAAUAAAGCAGCUCUCUAACUCAGAAGCCUAUCAAAUUCCAUAAUCUGAAUGAAAAGUUUUACAGCAGAACAAUGAAACAAGAACUUCCCUGCUCAAUCAAAUCAAUGGUUCAUCUGUUCCUGUAUCUAAAUGUGACAACUGCCAAAUGUUUUGAGCAAGAUGUAAUCAAUUCCCUUUCUGCUACUGCCACUCAUUCCAAUCCUACUGCUCUAUAACCUGCAUUGUUACACUCCUGCCGAUCCGAAUCUGCGAUCCCAGACUGAAUGAUCAAUUUGGAAAAGCUUCAAAUGCUCUGAAAUAUUUACCAGAUUUUAGAACACCUGGAAAGCCACAAAAUAAUAAUAAAACCAACAACUAUAGUACACAAUUUUUUUCCAACAGGAGUGUGCUUGUGAUCUAUUUAACUUCCCCAGUCUUUCUUGGUUUGCAUUUGUUUAAUAACUACGGAAUAAAUUCCCAGAUAUGACAAGGAAAGCAACUGUCUGGAUCUCUCAUGCAAGCCCAGAAGUGACUGAAAUACCUUUGCUUUAACAACCAGUCCUACACCACUGUGGAGACCCAAAAGACUUGGAAAAUCUCAAUGAAGCUUCUAAAACAGGAAACUCAUAAAAUUCAACUUAUCACAUUGGUCAUAGCACUCAACCUCCAAAAUGUCAUUUUUGCUCUUCUUGCAAGAAGCAGAAAAUGCCGUCAGUAUCUUAUUGAAGAAUAUACAUGCCUCAGUUUACCAAUGAAUUCUGAACAGCAACCUCCUGUGACUGAAGAAGCCUUUUUUUUUUUAUUCUCUGAAAUAGGAUAGUCAAAUUAGGUAUUAGUGAUUUACCCAUAGUAAAUUAGGCUUGACUGAUUAAAGUCUUCCACUCUGCAGAAAUAAAGUUAAUUAGAAAAUAGAAUGGAGGAAUACCAUGUGACUAUUAACUUCUAACAAAAUGCAGUCAGAGAAGUCAGAAUAUGCGGUAACACCUGAACUACACAUUACAGUGAAGAAGCAAGUUGAGGACUUGGAAAGCUAGAGCCUUGGGCUUCUCUCUGCAGAAAAUAGUUGCAAUGCUCCAUGUUUGGAAAAAGCAGGACAACUAACCACAGCAAAAUCGGCAUGUGCAUGCUUUACUUUUUUCUUCUUAGCUAGAAAAUUUCCAAUGCUGCCUUUGAAAUUGCUAGUAAUCUGUCAUGCUUUGACAAGGCUGUUCUGUCUACUAUUUGUUGUUAAGCAGAACCAAAAAGGAGUAAGUCUCUGGUGGGGGUCUUACAUGUCUUUAGUCUUGCUGGAAGGACAACAGUAACAAACAGUGGCUGUGAUGCCAAAUAGUUCAUCAAAGACCAGUGGAGCUGCACAGCUCUCCCUUGAACACUAGUCAAGUCCAACGGCUGAGUACUAAGAAUUAAAAUCCCAAAAGGACUGUAAAAAGGUCAGAGGCACAGCAUGCCUGUGGAGCUAUGACAGAUGCUUACUACAGCCCCAUCGCUGCACACACAAUUCCCAGUCACAUCAGCAGAUACUUUGUUUACCUGGGACUUUUACAACUGGAAGGAAGCAACAAUACAUUCUUCAGGAGACUGAUGAUCUAAUUACAAUGGUUUUCAACUUUUCCAAUUUGCAUACACUUAAACAUUUUUUGUGCCUCUCUUGUAGAUCUCUGUAUAUUGAUUUCAAGCCAAAUGACAAUAGGGUUGCUUUUCUUAGGUACUUUUUUUAAAUAGCUUAGAUGUAGUCCACCCACCUCUAUAAGUCAAAAACUAAAGACA